GCAAAGAUUUGGGAUCCCUGGUGAUCUGGGGAGGGCAGGGAGGCAGGAGGGAGGAGUUCAUCAAAGAGUGGAGCGACAGUGGGGCCCCUGGGGCGGGGGGGGGGGGGGGGGGGGCGCGGGCGCGGGCGGGCCCUGAGGACUUUAUCCAAGUCACAAACCCUCUCCUAGAAAGAUAAGGCCCCAUUUGGCAGCCAGGUCAAGGGGGGAGGCCUUGGGACCCCCGAUGCCCGCCUUGAACCCUGUCCUGGUUAAGAGCCCUGCUUCCGUGGCUCUCUCUAAACCCCUCCAGGCGCUGGGGGUCCCGGGCCGAGUCAGCAGCUCCGGGGAUGUUGUGCUGAGCUCCGUGGCUGUGGACGCCCAGGUGCUGGUCGCCGUGAACAAUAGCACGCUGCGGGGGGUGCUCAUCCUCAAGACGACCGAGAGCCGGAGGCAGGUGGAUGUGUUGCUCACACACAGCCUGCCCCGACCCGGCCCCUUGGGCCUCCCAGCCCGGGUCCUGCUGGAGCUGGCCACCGAGAGCCACGGGCGCAGCUACCGACGCACCCUGCGGGCCGGAGUGGAUGGCAGACAGGUGAGGGGCUCUGCGGGCGGGGCCCCGGGGAGCCGGGGGUAGUGGGGACAGCCCAGCCCAGCGGUCCGGGUCUCACAGUCGUCCACACUGACAGGUGUCUGAGGAGCUGACGUUCACUCGGCAGCCAGAACACAUGUCCCUGGACUACACGCUCCAGCACAACAUCCCCACGCUGCGGACGCUGUGGGUGGAGGACAGUCUGAGCCUGCAGGUCAGCCCUGGCGAGCCCCCGUGGUAAUAGAAACCCACGCACGCACGCAUGCAUUCAUUCAGCAGACGUUCUUGGAAGUACGGCGGAGACAAGGGGGUGGUGGAGG
rnacentral:lncRNA from 1 species